rnacentral:lncRNA from 1 species
CUCCAUGGCUGAACCAUUUGGCAUGUCGAUACCAACAUGACUCUGUGUGGCUCUGACUGGGAGUGACAGAAGCCAGCCUCUAACUUCGCUGACCUACUUCCCGGCUGCCUCUCCAGCCAGCACCCCACGCAGCAUCCAUUUUAACCAGCUUUUCAAGGUCGGGACUCUUCAAUGCAGAGGCUGGCUUUUGCUUGACACAAAGCCAGGACUUUCAUCCACUGUGCAUUGGGGAAAAGGAAAAUACCAAGCUCUUUUCAGUGCACCAUUGUGA